rnacentral:rRNA from 1 species
CGCGUAGGCGGUUUUGUAAGUCGGAUGUGAAAUCCCCGGGCUUAACCUGGGAACUGCAUUCGAUACUGCAUAACUAGAGUAUGGUAGAGGGAAGUGGAAUUCCGGGUGUAGCGGUGGAAUGCGUAGAUAUCCGGAGGAACACCAGUGGCGAAGGCGACUUCCUGGGCCAAUACUGACGCUGAGGUGCGAAAGCGUGGGGAGCAAACA